UACGAAGGGGGCUAGCGUUGCUCGGGAUCACUGGGCGUAAAGCGCACGUAGGCGGACUCUUAAGUCGGUGGUGAAAUCCUGGAGCUCAACUCCAGAACUGCCUUCGAUACUGGGAGUCUCGAGUUCGGGAGAGGUGAGUGGAACUGCGAGUGUAGAGGUGAAAUUCGUAGAUAUUCGCAAGAACACCAGUGGCGAAGGCGGCUCACUGGCCCGAUACUGACGCUGAGGUGCGAAAGCGUGGGGAGCGAACAGG
rnacentral:rRNA from 1 species